UACAGAGGUCUCAAGCGUUUGUUCGGAUUCAUUGGGCGUAAAGGGUGCGUAGGCGGCGCGGUGAAGUCGGGUGUGAAAUCUUGGAGCUUAACUCCGAAACUGCAUUCGAUACUGCCGUGCUUGAGGACUGGAGAGGAGACUGGAAUUUACGGUGUAGCGGUGAAAUGCGUAGAUAUCGUAAGGAAGACCAGUGGCGGAAGGCGGGUCUCUGGACAGUUCCUGACGCUGAGGCACGAAGGCCAGGGGAGCAAACAGG
rnacentral:rRNA from 1 species